rnacentral:lncRNA from 1 species
ACACGAAGAGCCCUACAGGCGUGAGAACAGUAAGGGAGAUGCAAGAAAGGUCUCCUUGGAGUUGGGAGGCGUAUUUACAGCUACUAGAGAAGGGGGAAGUGCCAGCUCCCCGAGAAGAAAGCAGGAGGAUGCUGAGAGACUAAAGCUGAAAUUUUCUGCCUGCUUCCUCACUCUUUUCGUUGGUUUCAGCCGUCUGAAAAACCCUUGUGAGAGGAGCAAAAAGGUCAAGGGAAGAUUGUUGCCUUGCUCUCAGUCUUCAAAAUUUUCGAUCCUCCGUUUUUUUUGUUUUGAGACGCAGUCUCGCUCUGUCGCCUAGGCUGGAGUGCAGCGGCGCGAUCUCGGUCACUGCAACCUCCGCCUCCCUGGUUCUAGCGAUUCUUCUGCCUCAGCCUCCUGAGUAGCUGGGACUACAGGCGCGUGCCACCACACCCGGCUAAUUUUUUUGUACUUUUGAUAGGGACGGGGUCUCACGGUGUUAGCCAGGAUGGUCUCUAUCUCCUGAACUCGUGAUCCGCCCGCCUCGGCCUCCCAAAGUGCUGGGAUUACAGGCGUGAGCCACCGCGCCCGGCCGGUCCUCUGUUUUUAAACUGUAAAGGACUCCAGCGGAUUGUUCGAAGUCUCCGAUAUCCCGCGAUCUGGUGGCCGCAGAAGAAAGAGGCCGAGUCGGCGGGGACUGGGAACCACCAGUUAGCGGCCUACGGGCAACCUCCCGGACGCGCGCGCCGGGCCGACGUUAAACAGAAAACAGUUGUUUGGUUUUGAAGAUAAUCAGUUACCCCUCUAGAGAGGUCUAACGGGCAAGGAACUGAGGCCUCCACCCAAAAGUCGGCUUGAACUUGCCAGAUAUGCGAGUGUGCCACCUUGGAAGGGAAUCCUCCAGCUACAGUCAAGGAUUCGGAUGAUUGCAGCCUAUGUUUACAGCUUGACUUCAACCUCAAGGAAGACCCGGAGCCAUAACCACCUAGCUAAAUCACUUCUGGAUUCCCGACUCACAGAAAUUAGUUUUGGGAUAAUUUGUUACACGGCAAUAGAUAACAUAAUAGACAUGGGGAGCCCCACAGUUAAGCUUAUAGAGCUACCAUAAUUUUUAUAAUGAAACUUGAUAAAGAUGGAGUUUCACUCUUGUUGCCCAGACUGGAGGACAAUUGCGUGAUCUUGGCUCAAUGCAACCUCUGCCUCCUGGGUUGAAGCGAUUCUCCUGCCUCAGCCUCCUGAGUAGUUGAGAUUACAGGUGCAUGCCACCAUGCCUGGAUGAUUUUUGUAUUUUUAGUAGAGAUGGGGUUUCACCAUAUUGGCCAGGCUGGUCUCGAACUCCUGAGCUCAGGUGAUCCGCCUGCCUCAGCCUCCCAAAGUGCUGGGAUUACAGGCGUGAGCCACUGUGCCUGGCCUCUUUUUCUUUUUUCAAAAAGACACUAGUCAAUUCGAGUCUGUUUUUUUUUUUUUUUGAGACAGAGUCUCAUUCUGUGGCCCAGGGUGGAGUGCAGUGGCACGAUCUUGGCUCACUGCAAACUCCACCUCCCGGGUUCACGCGAUUCUCCUGCCUCAUCCUCCUGAGUAGCUGGGAUUAAAGGCGCACACCACCACACUGGCUAAUUUUUUGUGUACUUUUAGUAGAGACGGGGUUUCACUAUGUUGGCCAGACUGGUCUCGAACUCCUGACCUUGUGAUCCGCCUGCCUCAACUUCCCAAAGUGCUGGGAUUACAGGCAUGAACCACCGUGCCUGGCCUCAAGUCUGUAUCUUGUUAAUUCUCCCUUUUCAUUUCCAUUGUCUGUUGCUUUUUUUUUUUUUUUUUUUUUUCAGAGACAGGAUCUCAAACUUUUGGCCUCAAGCAAUCCUCCAGCCUCAGCCUCCCGAAGUGCUGGGAUUACAGGCAUUAGCCACCACGCCCAGCUCCCAUUGUCUGUUGCUUUUGUUUUCAUUAGUCAUACUUCUAGUUUCAUGAUGUUUAAUUUAGAUUGUGAAGCUCCUUGUGCAUUUUUGGGGGGAUAUUUUAGCUGUGGCAAUUUGUUGAGGUGUAAAAUGAAGCUUCUUUUCCAGA